GAAAUAGAAACUGGCCAGCUUGACUGAACCAAACGAGUUUUCACUGAGAAUAUUCCAAAUCGAGACCGUCCAGCUAUCAUGAAAACUGCACCAUUGGAAAGGUAAUCUUAAUAUCUCACCAAUCACAAUUGUCCUUAAAUAAAUUUCACUGGAAAUAUGAAAUCUUUUGACAAAAGUAGACAGAUACAAAGCAGUACUCGGAAGUGCAAUUAAUGUCCCAAGUUCUAUCUGCUUUUGAUUGAGAAAUCAUACAUAAAUGUGUCACAUGCAAAAAGGAAUAGUACUUCACAGUAUUGAAAAGGAAAAAGAGCUAAUGAUCUUGUCCAUUGUUCGGUCGAAUCCUAUCUAGUUAUGUGUACCAAACAUUUUCUCCGUUUAAAUAGAUGCCCAUAUUCUUCACAGAUGGAUAAGGAGCAGAGAGUAUUGGUUUUACACUUGUGUACUUGUAAGACAUCUCCACUGCUCCACACGAGGUCCCCUGUCCAUUAGCAUGAGCAAGCCUGCAUUGUUGCCCGAUAACCCGAAUUUAUAUCUAAAAUCAUAAGAAAGAAUUAUUGUAUUUAGGUAUAUUUUCUUCAUUGGCUUCAGAAAAGAACUUGAUAAUUACAAGAAGACAAAAUGAUGGCCUAAUUUAGGCAUAAAUUAUCAGAUCAAUAAAUGUCUAUCCUGCAUAAAAUCCUCUUAUUCAGUUUUUUCUCCCAAUACUCAAGAGACAGGUAUAUUGGUCCAGGUUUGCAUAUCUAUCCACAUAUCUGAGUACCCUUGGCACGGGAUGCCAUAGUUCCGGGGUCAAAAAUUAUACUACUCCCCUCUCAUAGUACUAAAGUACAAAUUGUUAUACUCAAAUGCUGCAAAUCAGUGUCUAAAGUAAACAGUAACCAGAACCCACAGAGAGAACAACACAUCUACAUGUUUUAUCAAUUCCUUGAACCACAGCAGGCAUUUUGCAUAUUUCCAAUCAAGAGUUUCAUUCAAAAUAAUGGUUUUUCCACAAAAUAGGAUAGAAUUUAUGAAUUCCAUCAACUCCAAUAACCUUACCCAUCACUCAGAUCGAUGUCAUAAUUUAUAUUAAACUUAAAGCAUAUUCACGAAACCCAUGUAUGGAUCUCCAGCAGAAAAAAUGUCCCAAAAAUCACAACAGUGUUCUAACAAUAACUCAGCUAAACCAAACUCACAAUUAAAAAUAAAUUCAUAUUUUGCAACAUAGUCAACAAACUCACAAUAGGAAGAUAACACAAUCAAGAAAUCAAAGGUCCAAAAGAUAGUAGAUAAAAGUUAAAAAAUCACAAACCCAAAAAAAAUAAAAAGAUUCAGAUCAGAAUCAAAAUCAGAAUCCCAAUUGUGAAAUUACAAAGAAGGAGUGAAUCUGAGCUUACAGAUUGAGGAUAAAUCAUUCUACAGAUUAGUAUGUUCGAAAAGGCAAAUAUUUUAAAAGGAGUAUAGCUGGCUGAACUGCAAAAUUAACCAAAAAAACGGAGAAUAUAGGGGCAAGCAUACAUUGAAUCUAGUUACAAAUAUUUUCAGACGCUGUACGUUUCAUUCUUGUUGUCUCUCUCUCUCUCUGUAAUUGAAACGUCUUACUCAUUGCAGGUUCCACAAUUUUGACCUUUUUUUGCUGCUUCAAAUAAAUGUUUAACAAUCACUUUUCUUUCCAUCAACUUUCCCUUUUGAUGACCCCGUAGAAAACAAAGUCCAAAAGCAUUCUGAAUUCAGAAUCCUAGCUAGCCUAAUUGCAGAGACUCUUUAAAGAAACAAACACAGAAAUAUUUAUGGGUUUUUGUUCUGUCCCUCUCUAGAGAAAAAUGGAUGACAAUAAAGGAGAAACUACCAAGAAAAUACAGCAUUUAUCGACUUCUCCGAAUGACCCAAAUCAAGAAUCAUCAGAAACCAUGGAUAUGAUACUAACAUUUUAUUAUUCUUAUAGAUCUAGCAAAAUGAUCCCAUUAUACUCUUGAAUGUGUUAUGGUUGGAGUUCAACUUCAACCAAAACCAAUUAAUUUCCAACCAAAUUCAACCAAUAAUGAGCAAUUAUAAAAUCAAGAUGCAAAGUACAGAUUGUAAUUACUCAAAUUGAAGGAAUAUAAACUGAAAUUACAAACUAGAACCAGUUUAUGUCCAACCAAAAUCAACCAUUCAUUCCCUUAAUUGAUGUUUCCAUUACAAUGCAGGGCUUACAAGUAAAAAACAAAAUACAAAAGAGAAAUAGAUAGACCUGCAGAGGAUGAAAAGACAGAGACUUGGAAGACAGAUUUAUAGAAGGAAGAAGAGAAGAAGGAGAAAUGAGAAAAAUAGAAGAAAGCAGGAGAAAUAGAGAAGCAGGAGGAGAAGAGAAGAAUACCAGAGAAAGAGAGACGCCGAGAAGAACACAACAGCAGAGAAACAGGAAGAAGAAUGGUAGAGGAAGGGGGAAGACGAACGACAGCAGCCAAUUUCAAUUCAACACUCGACCCUUCUUCAUUGUCUUCCAACAACCCUAGAGCAAAAUAAUAACCAAAAAGGGCUUGGGCUAGCC
rnacentral:lncRNA from 1 species